UGGGGAAUAUUGCACAAUGGGCGAAAGCCUGAUGCAGCAACGCCGCGUGAGUGAUGAAGGCCUUCGGGUUGUAAAGCUCUGUCUUUUGGGACGAUAAUGACGGUACCAAAGGAGGAAGCCACGGCUAACUACGUGCCAGCAGCCGCGGUAAUACGUAGGUGGCAAGCGUUGUCCGGAUUUACUGGGCGUAAAGGAUGCGUAGGCGGAUUUUUAAGUGAGAUGUGAAAACCCUAAGCUUAACUUGGGGACUGCAUUUCAUACUGGAAAUCUAGAGUGCGGGAGAGGAGAAUGGAAUUCCUAGUGUAGCGGUGAAAAUGCGUAGAGAUUAGGAAGAACACCAGUGGCGAAGGCGAUUCUCUGGACGUAACUGACGCUGAGGCAUGAAAAGCGUGGGUAGCAAAACAGGAUUAGAUACCCUGGUAGUCCACGCCGUAAAACGAUGAGUACUAGGUGUAGGAGGUAUCGACCCCUUCUGUGCCGCAGUUAAACACAAAUAAGUACUCCGCCUGGGGAAGUACGAUCGCAAAGAUUAAAAAACUCAAAAGGAAAUUGACGGGGGUCAAUAGCUGUUUUUCCU
rnacentral:rRNA from 1 species